ensembl:snRNA U6 U6 spliceosomal RNA
UUGGCAGCACAUAUAUUAAAAUUGGAAAGAUACAGAGAAGAUCAGCAUGGCCCCUGCACAAGGGUGACAUGCAAAUUCAUGAAGCAUUCCAUAUUUUU